rnacentral:rRNA from 1 species
AGAGUUUGAUCAUGGCUCAGAAUCAACGCUGGCGGCGUGCCUAACACAUGCAAGUCGCACGAGAAAGGGGAGCAAUCCCUGAGUACAGUGGCGCACGGGUGAGUAACACGUGACUAACCUACCUUCGAGUGGGGAAUAACCUGGGGAAACCCGGGCUAAUACCGCAUAACACUUACGAGUCAAAGCAGCAAUGUGCUUGAAGAGGGGGUCGCGGCCGAUUAGCUAGUUGGCGGGGUAAUGGCCCACCAAGGCUUUGAUCGGUAUCCGGCCUGAGGGGGCGCACGGACACACUGGAACUGAAACACGGUCCAGACUCCUACGGGAGGCAGCAGUGGGGAAUUUUGCGCAAUGGGGGAAACCCUGACGCAGCAACGCCGCGUGGAGGACGAAGUCUCUUGGGACGUAAACUCCUUUUCGAUCGGGACGAUAAUGACGGUACCGGAAAGAAGAAGCCCCGGCUAACUUCGUUGCCAGCAGCCCGCGGUAAUACGAGGGGGGGGCAAGCGUUUGUUCGGAAUUUAUUUGGGCCGUAAAGGGCGCGUAGGCGGGCUUGGCUUAAGUUCUUUGUGUUGAAAAUCUUUCGGGGCUUC